GAUGAACGCUGGCGGCGUGCUUAACACAUGCAAGUCGAACGGAAAGGCCCAAGCUUGCUUGGGUACUCGAGUGGCGAACGGGUGAGUAACACGUGGGUGAUCUGCCCUGCACUUCGGGAUAAGCCUGGGAAACUGGGUCUAAUACCGGAUAGGACCACAUUUUGGAUGGUGUGGUGGAAAGUUUUUCGGUGUGGGAUGAGCUCGCGGCCUAUCAGCUUGUUGGUGGGGUAAUGGCCUACCAAGGCGUCGACGGGUAGCCGGCCUGAGAGGGUGUACGGCCACAUUGGGACUGAGAUACGGCCCAGACUCCUACGGGGGGCAGCAGGGGGGAAUAUUGCACAAUGGGCGCAAGCCUGAUGCAGCGACGCCGCGUGGGGGAUGACGGCCUUCGGGUUGUAAACUCCUUUCGCUAGGGACGAAGCGUUUUUGUGACGGUACCUGGAGAAGAAGCACCGGCUAACUACGUG
rnacentral:rRNA from 1 species